AGCGAUAAAAGUUGGCGACCCUCUUUUUAAAAUAAAGGGAGCUACUGCAAACGAAACAGCUUUGGAUCGAUUUUUGGUGAAGCAGGCCUGUUCCGUAUGCUGAAGUUUUUGACGCAUUCUUGAUCUAUUGGUAACUCAUGAAUCCCAUCGUAAUAAACAGGCUUCAGCGAAAGCUGGGCUACACUUUUCAAC
rfam:Serratia sp. M24T3 contig012, whole genome shotgun sequence.